UACGUAAGGACCGAGCGUUGUCCGGAAUCAUUGGGCGUAAAGGGUACGUAGGCGGUCUAGUAAGUUAGAAGUGAAAGGCUAUAGCUCAACUAUAGUAAGCUUUUAAAACUGUUUAACUUGGGAGAUGGAAGGGAAAGUGGAAUUCCUAGUGUAGCGGUGAAAUGCGCAGAUAUUAGGAGGAAUACCGGUGGCGAAGGCGACUUUCUGGCCAUUAUCUGACGCUCAUGUGCGAAAGCGUGGGGAGCAAACAGG
rnacentral:rRNA from 1 species